UAAGCGUAAAGAUGAUGGCGCAAGCUUAGUCUAGCUUAGAUGAUAAAAUCAUCCCUCUUCAUGGGUGAUUU
rfam:Lactobacillus crispatus ST1 complete genome, strain ST1